AGAGAGAGACAUGCGCGCAUAUCAAUAAGCGGAGGAAAAGAAACUAACUAGGAUUCCCUCAGUAACGGCGAGUGAAGCGGGAAGAGCUCAAAUUUGAAAUCUUCAAGGUUCUACCUUGACGAAUUGUAGUUUAAAGAAGUGUUUUCUGUUGGAGUUUUGGUAAAAGUUCUUUGGAAUAGGACAUCAUAGAGGGUGAGAAUCCCGUAUUUGACCAUUAUUUCAGCUGUGUGAUACACUUUCAAAGAGUCGGAUUGUUUGGGAAUGCAGUCCAAAAUGGGUGGUAAAUUUCAUCUAAAGCUAAAUAUUGGCGAGAGGACCGAUAGCGAACAAGUACCGUGAGGGAAAGAUGAAAAGAACUUUGAAAAGAGAGUUAAACAGUACGUGAAAUUGUCAAAAGGGAAGCAUUUGACACCAGUGUUGUUUUCUCGAAAAUCAAUUAAAAAAGGCAGGAUUUUGUGUUGUAUUGACUUUAUCAGCUUUCUGCACUCUUUUCUUGUCUUUUUUAAUGCACUUUUCGUUUAACAAGUCAACAUCAAUUUCUUUUGUUGUAAAAGGGUCAUUGGAAGGUGGCUUUCUUUUCGGAGAAAGUGUUUAUAGCCUUUGGCCUCUGCAAUCGGAGAGAUUGAGGUCUGCAGCGUAGAUCCUUCGGGGUUAGAUACAUUUGUGCUAAGUUAUAGCCUUUCAUAGACAACUUGUUGACUAUGAUCAGUCAUGUAGCUUACUCGCUUAUGCUAUUUUACCUACGCUUAGGAUGUUGAUGUGAUACUGCGAGCA
rnacentral:rRNA from 1 species